rnacentral:lncRNA from 1 species
UCAUAUUGAUUUUUCUAUUUUCAAUGAUGAAGUGGCACAUAUGUUGCUCAUUUGCAUUUAGUGGCAGCUUUUAUACAAAGGAUCUGAGAAGCAAAAUUGGGCCUAUUUCUCUUUAUGUCACCAGAUGAAUGAGAUUUUCAUGCUUGUGAUGAAGUGACUAGUUUGUGGCUAUGUGCCUCCUUUCUUGUUCAUGAUUGAGUUUGUGAUUUGUUUCCUAAAGAAAUGAAGAUACUGUGUGUCAUUUGUUUCUUAUUGGUUCCUUCACCUAGAAAAGCCUGAUUUAUUGUUUUCUCUUUUUAAGACUUCUCAAGGACUCAAGCUUAUCACAAUGAUUGAGUUUGUGAUUUGUUCCCUAAAGAAAUGAAGAUACUGAGUGUCAUUUGUUUCUUAUUGGUUCCUUCACCUAGAAAAGCCUAAUUUACUAUUUUCUCUUUUUAAGACUUCUC